GUCCACGCCGUAAACGAUGGACACUAGUUGUUGGAAUUAUUCAGUGACUAAGCGAAAGUAAUAAGUGUCCCACCUGGGGAGUACGGUCGCAAGAUUGAAACUCAAAGGAAUUGACGGGGGCCCGCACAAGCGGUGGAGCAUGUGGUUUAAUUCGAUGAUACGCGAGGAACCUUACCAGGGCUUAAAUGUAGAGUGACAGGUCUAGAGAUAGAUUUUUCUUCGGACACUUUACAAGGUGCUGCAUGGUU
rnacentral:rRNA from 1 species